UGGGGAAUUUUGCACAAUGGGGGAAACCCUGAUGCAGCGACGCCGCGUGAUUUAGAAGGCCUUCGGGUUGUAAAAAUCUUUUCUAUGGGAAGAAAAUGACAGUACCAUGGGAAUAAGGACCGGCUAAUUACGUGCCAGCAGCCGCGGUAAUACGUAAGGUCCGAGCGUUGUCCGGAAUCAUUGGGCGUAAAGGGUACGUAGGCGGGUAAGCAAGUUAGAAGUGAAAUCCUAUAGCUCAACUAUAGUAAGCUUUUAAAACUGCUCAUCUUGAGGUAUGGAAGGGAAAGUGGAAUUACUAGUGUAGCGGUGAAAUGCGGAGAUAUGAGGAGGAAUACCGGUGGCGAAGGCGACUUUCAGGCCAUAACCUGACGCUGAGGUACGAAAGCGUGGGUAGCAAACAGG
rnacentral:rRNA from 1 species